rnacentral:rRNA from 1 species
GAUGAACGCUGGCGGCGUUCCUAAUACAUGCAAGUCGAGCGAACAGACGAGGAGCUUGCUCCUCUGACGUUAGCGGCGGACGGGUGAGUAACACGUGGAUAACCUACCUAUACGACUGGGAUAACUUCGGGAAACCGUAGCUAAUACCGGAUAAUAUAUUGAACCGCAUGGUUCAAUAGUGAAAGACGGUUUUGCUGUCACUUAUAGAUGGAUCCGCGCCGCAUUAGCUAGUUGGUAAGGUAACGGCUUACCAAGGCAACGAUGCGUAGCCGACCUGAGAGGGUGAUCGGCCACACUGGAACUGAGACACGGUCCAGACUCCGACGGGAGGCAGCAGUAGGGAAUCUUCCGCGAUGGGCGAAAGCCUGACGGAGCAACGCCGCGUGAGUGAUGAAGGUCUUCGGAUAGUAAAACUCUGUUAGUAGGGAAGAACAAAUGUGUAAGUACCUAUGCACGUCUUGACGGUACCUAAUCAGAAAGCCACGGCUAACUACGUG